rnacentral:rRNA from 1 species
UUGGUUAAGUUAGAAAGGGCGCACGGUGGAUGCCUUGGCACUAGGAGCCGAAGAAGGACGGGACUAACACCGAUAUGCUUUGGGGAGCUGUACGUAAGCGUUGAUCCAGAGAUUUCCGAAUGGGGGAACCCACUAUCUUUAGUCGGAUAGUAUCCUUACGUGAAUACAUAGCGUGAGGAAGGCAGACCCAGGGAACUGAAACAUCUAAGUACCUGGAGGAAGAGAAAGAAAAAUCGAUUUCCUGAGUAGCGGCGAGCGAAACGGAAAGAGCCCAAACCAAGAAGCUUGCUUCUUGGGGUUGUAGGACACUCUAUACGGAGUUACAAAAGAAAGUUAUAAAUGAAGCGGUCUGGAAAGGCCCGCCAAAGACGGUAACAGCCCGGUAGUUGAAAUGGCUUUCCCUCCAGAGUGGAUCCUGAGUACGGCGGAACACGUGAAAUUCCGUCGGAAUCCGGGAGGACCAUCUCCCAAGGCUAAAUACUCCCUAGUGACCGAUAGUGAACCAGUACCGUGAGGGAAAGGUGAAAAGCACCCCGGAAGGGGAGUGAAACAGUUCCUGAAACCGUGUGCCUACAAGUAGUUAGAGCCCGUUAAUGGGUGAUAGCGUGCCUUUUGUAGAAUGAACCGGCGAGUUACGAUUUGUUGCAAGGUUAAGCGGAAAAAGCGGAGCCGUAGCGAAAGCGAGUCUGAAUAGGGCGCAUAAGUAACAGGUCGUAGACCCGAAACCAGGUGAUCUACCCAUGUCCAGGAUGAAGGUAAGGUAAUACUUACUGGAGGUCCGAACCCACGCACGUUGAAAAGUGCGGGGAUGAGGUGUGGGUAGCGGAGAAAUUCCAAUCGAACUUGGAGAUAGCUGGUUCUCUCCGAAAUAGCUUUAGGGCUAGCCUCGAGGUAAAGAGUCAUGGAGGUAGAGCACUGUUUGGACUAGGGGCCCUUCUCGGGUUACCGAAUUCAGAUAAACUCCGAAUGCCAUGUACUUAUACUCGGGAGUCAGACUGCGAGUGAUAAGAUCCGUAGUCGAAAGGGAAACAGCCCAGACCACCAGUUAAGGUCCCCAAAUAUA